UACGUAGGGUGCAAGCGUUAAUCGGAAUUACUGGGCGUAAAGCGUGCGCAGGCGGUUGUGCAAGACAGAUGUGAAAUCCCCGGGCUCAACCUGGGACCUGCAUUUGUGACUGCAUCGCUAGAGUACGGUAGAGGGGGAUGGAAUUCCGCGUGUAGCAGUGAAAUGCGUAGAUAUGCGGAGGAACACCGAUGGCGAAGGCAAUCCCCUGGACCUGUACUGACGCUCAUGCACGAAAGCGUGGGGAGCAAACGAGG
rnacentral:rRNA from 1 species